GAUGAACGCUGGCGGCGUGCCUAAUACAUGCAAGUCGAGCGAACAGACGAGGAGCUUGCUCCUCUGACGUUAGCGGCGGACGGGUGAGUAACACGUGGAUAACCUACCUAUAAGACUGGGAUAACUUCGGGAAACCGGAGCUAAUACCGGAUAAUAUAUUGAACCGCAUGGUUCAAUAGUGAAAGACGGUUUUGCUGUCACUUAUAGAUGGAUCCGCGCCGCAUUAGCUAGUUGGUAAGGUAACGGCUUACCAAGGCAACGAUGCGUAGCCGACCUGAGAGGGUGAUCGGCCACACUGGAACUGAGACACGGUCCAGACCCCUACGGGGGGCAGCAGGAGGGAAUCUUCCGCAAUGGGCGAAAGCCUGACGGAGCAACGCCGCGUGAGUGAUGAAGGUCUUCGGAUCGUAAAACUCUGUUAUUAGGGAAGAACAAAUGUGUAAGUAACUAUGCACGUCUUGACGGUACCUAAUCAGAAAGCCACGGCUAACUACGUG
rnacentral:rRNA from 1 species